GACGAACGCUGGCGGCGUGCUUAACACAUGCAAGUCGAACGGAAAGGCCCCUUUGGGGGUACUCGAGUGGCGAACGGGUGAGUAACACGUGAGUAACCUGCCCUUGACUUCGGGAGAACUUCAGGAAACUGGGGCUAAUACCGGAUAGGAAUCCUUGCUGCAUGGUGGGGGUUGGAAAGCUUCGGCGGUUUUGGAUGGACUCGCGGCUUAUCAGCUUGUUGGUGGGGUAGUGGCUUACCAAGGCGUUGACGGGUAGCCGGCCUGAGAGGGCGACCGGCCACAUUGGGACUGAGAUACGGCCCAGACUCCUACGGGGGGCAGCAGUGGGGAAGAUUGCACAAUGGGCGGAAGGCUGAUGCAGCAACGCCGCGUGCGGGAUGACGGCCUUCGGGUUGGAAACCGCUUUCAGCAGGGGCGAAGCUUGUGGUGACGGUACCUGCAGAAGAAGCACCGGCUAACUACGUG
rnacentral:rRNA from 1 species